rnacentral:misc_RNA from 1 species
UCCGGCUUAACGCCGGCAGUCUCCCUAGAGUGCCCAACUUAAUGCUGGCAACUAAAGGCAAGGGUUGCGCUCGUUGCGGGACUUAACCCAACAUGUCACCACACGAGCUGACGACAGCCAUGCAGCACCUGUCUCUCUGUAGUAUUGCUACUAAAACUGUAUUUCUACAGCGGUCAGAGGAUGUCAAACCUAGGUAAGGUUUUGCGCGUUGCUUCGAAUUAAACCACAUGAUCCACCGCUUGUGCGGGCCCCCGUCAAUUCCUUUGAGUUUUAGUCUUGCGACCGUACUUCCCAGGCGGGGUACUUAUUGCGUUAGCUCCGGCUCUGCAGGGGUCAAGUCCCACAAAGCCUAGUACCCAUCGUUUACGGCGUGGACUUC